CCACUUCUGCCCAGGGAUGCUGCUAGGGCACUGAUGAAAAGUCCAAAUCCCCUGGUUCCCCCAAAGUUGACAUGGUCCUCCUCUGGUCGAAGGUAAGCACAGCAGAGGAGCAACUUCUGGUUAGUCCUUUGGUCCCAGUGAACGAGGAUUGCAGCAAAGAGAACUGCCUACUGAGAAAAUUGGUCAUGGGAGGAAUAGACUUGUGGAAGGCUCUUCCCACCCAGUGUUCUACAAGAGUUCCUGGUUUCUUGAGUCUGUGUUGGCUGCCCAGCAAUGAGAUGAUUCCUGCAAUGAUACUCUGCUUCUGGAAGGAAAAUUAGGUUUACCAGCAAAAGGACAUUUCCGUUGAAAGUAUUAAGAAAGCCCAAGUCACGCCUGGUCAUCCAGGAUAUCUGAACAUUGUGAGUUAGUUACUCAGUGCAAGUCUGAGAUGAAAGUGAAAUUUCUGUUUCUGCUGUCCCACAAAAUUGUCUUUAUCUUUCUGGGGAGCAUGAUGGUAGUGAUGGGUUUUUGGUUUCAGCAUUUGUUAAUAUGUUCUUAUGAGUCUUCUGUUUUAAGGUGUUUGGGUUUUGUUUUGUUUUUUG